AUGCACGCUGGCGGCGUGCCUAAUACCUGCAAGUCGCGCGAACAGACGAGGAGCUUGCUCCUCUGACGUUAGCGGCGGACGGGUGAGUAACACGUGGAUAACCUACCUAUAAGACUGGGAUAACUUCGGGAAACCGGAGCUAAUACCGGAUAAUAUAUUGAACCGCAUGGUUCAAUAGUGAAAGACGGUUUUGCUGUCACUUAUAGAUGGAUCCGCGCCGCAUUAGCUAGUUGGUAAGGUAACGGCUUACCAAGGCAACGAUGCGUAGCCGACCUGAGAGGGUGAUCGGCCACACUGGAACUGAGACACGGUCCAGACUCCUACGGGAGGCAGCAGUAGGGAAUCUUCCGCAAUGGGCGAAAGCCUGACGGAGCAGCGCCGCGUGAGUGAUGAAGGUCUUCGGAUCGUAAAACUCUGUUAUUAGGGAAGAACAAAUGUGUAAGUAACUAUGCACGUCUUGACGGUACCUAAUCAGAAAGCCACGGCUAACUACGUG
rnacentral:rRNA from 1 species